UCAGAGCGUAGAGCCACAGGAAGCUGCCAGAAUUAGUGCAAAAGGUCCUUGAGUUCUUUGUGAUUAUGGGCGUUAUGAAACGGCUGCCUCGGGAGGCCCCGGUUUACUAGUGCGCGUGGCUUCUUGCGCAAACGCCCAGAAACCACGGUCAAACCCACCUGCCCCGCUCUGUUUAGUUAAGGUGUUCACUCCCUCUAUAAACCGCUCCCCUCCUACCUCUUUAGCUCUCAGCCUAGUAGUUUGCCACAAAGAGCCAAUCAGAAACUUCCUGGCUCGAGACACGCCCAAGCUUGCUCCUAGUGAUCUCCAGCUUGGGGCUCUCUGAGUCCCCAGGCACUAGAGUGGGUGGCAACUGUGGCUGGUGCUUUCGAUUUCCAGGGUGGUUGCUAUCCUAAAAGGACUUUCGUCUUCCGGCAGAUGGUACCGCAGUAAGCUCCCUGAAACCUGUCUUUGCAGGGUCCAGUGCCGUUGAAAUGUUCCGCUAGCAGGGACUUGAUCCAACCUGCCAUCUGGAGCUCGUUGUGCGAAGGAUUUCAGCUGCUGGAGUAAACGAGUGUUUUUAUCUCAACAAGGUAGAGAAGGGCAGAAGAGAGUUCAAAGUUAACCGUGAUACAUCACCCUUCACCUGCUUCUCUAUUUCAAGUGUGCUCAUUUACUAGUAUAUAAGAACAGUCCUGGGCCUUCCGAUACUGGCAAACAGAAAGAUCAGAGGAGCCCUUUUCUUAAAGAGUUUAAGCGCUGCAGAAAUAAAUACGCUAGCGAUAGAUGAUAGACAGGCAAAUCGAGAAGCACCCCCAAACCUAAAAAUACAAAACAAAACCAAAAACCAACCAUCGAUGACAAUAAAGGACAAGGUACUCUGCUCAAUAAAACUGUCUCCAUUCACUCUGGACUUUAUGAAGAAUGUGAGAGUGUUUGAGCAGGAAGACUGAGCCCACACCAAGGUUAUAAAGCAGUUGCCAUUUACUAAGCCGUCUGUGUAAAGGUGGUUCUCUGCACGUUGGACAGGCCACAGAACAACUUCAGCUCUUCUGGUGACUUCCAGGUUUCACACUACGGAGGCUCUUACUGUGUCCCUGAGGUUGCUCUGUAGAUUAUAUUUCUUGAUUCUUCACCCAAUGUCUGCAAUCCAAUUACACUGACUCAAGCCUUACCAGGAUCCUUUAGAACAAUCAACAAGCAAUCAUUUAGAACCACAAAACAUUUUACCAAAAGGAGUGAGCGCUUAGCUUGAAAGUGUACGGAAUUCAGACACGAGUUGCAGAAAUUUCCUGCUUCUUUUUGCCAUUGUGUCUGUUGGCUGCAGUCCAUCUGCUGCUGGAACUUCUAACAGUUCCCUGAAAAGCAUAGCACUCUUGCCAGCUACGGGCUCUGCUUGGCUACUCCUUCCUGCAAAAUGCUGCCUUCAUUAUUUUUUUCCUCCCAUAUGUCUGCCUCUCACCAGGUGAUUUCUUCAUCCUGUUGGGACAGACGGAGGGGUGAUCACUUCUGAGUUUUAGAAGGGAGUUACAAUUUGCAGAUUGAGAUUUGACGCAAAUGCUCACUGUUAGCUGCCUUGGAAAUUUCCUGUGCUGAUUCUUCCUGUGUUUCACUAUAAUUGCUUCCACCUCACUUGCAUGUUGGCUAUGUUAGAACAUCUUCUCCCUCCCAUAACCUGGAGAAGGCAUGUGCAGACAAAUGAUCAAUCAAAAUAGCUCAAACAUGCUGAGUUUUCAUAACUUAAUAAAGGAAUUGGAGUUCAACCACA